UACGGAAGGGGCAAGCGUUGUCCGGAAUUAUUGGGCGUAAAGAGCUCGUAGGCGGUUUGUCGCGUCUGCUGUGAAAACUCGGGGCUUAACUCCGGGCCUGCAGUGGGUACGGGCAGACUAGAGUGCGGUAGGGGAGACUGGAAUUCCUGGUGUAGCGGUGAAAUGCGCAGAUAUCAGGAGGAACACCGGUGGCGAAGGCGGGUCUCUGGGCCGUAACUGACGCUGAGGAGCGAAAGCGUGGGGAGCGAACAGG
rnacentral:rRNA from 1 species